rnacentral:lncRNA from 1 species
UACUGUUUGGUGGUUGAUACAUUACUGUGCAAGUUCUAUGGUAUGUGAGUUCUUUCUGUUGCUGCAAGCAUUGACACAAUAUGUCAUGUGCAGGGAGCUCCGCAUCCGAGUUUCAGCCAUCCUCUACAGCAAGGAGCUCUGGGCCAAAGGAGCAAGCAGCGCUGCUAGUUCCUUGAGGCCAGAUCGAGUAAGAUGGUGCACCAUGGCGUGUGGUGGUGUAUUUUGCUUCCGAGAACAGUACUGUUUAUUUGAAGUGAGAUGUACUCGUCUAGUGCCUGGCAAAAAAUUGAAGGAUGAAGUGUCAUGUACUGUCUAUGUUGUAGUGAGCUGUAGUAGGAGUGAAACGAAAAUUUAUCUGCUGUUGUAUGUGCUAUUUCCCUGUAAUGUCUUGUGUACAUUUUACUUGAACAUUAAAUUCUCUAGAAAAAAUUGUUCUUACUAGACCUGGUAGUGGCCACGGCCCAAAUAUACUCAUACUAUUAAGAUGCCAUGGCCCAAAAUAACCUGGGCUGAAAAGCUAUUCAGAAGUAUUAUAAGCAGGCCUCGACUCAAAUAGAAAAUGGAAACAAAAAGCAAACAAACUAUGUGGAAGGUAAAAGCCCAUUAUAGAAAAGGCCCAAAACAUCAAGCAAAAGAAUCCUAAAAGGCUGAAUUAAUGGGCUCGGCCCAUGUAAAACGCCGAAUCAGACCGGGCUGAAUCUUGUGCCACAUCAGCUUGCCACGCUGGAUGCCUACGUGGCCUGGUCAGACAGCUAGUGACCAAAACACAACAGUAGGCUUAUUUUGGUCGUAAACGUCUACGACCUUCUCACAGAGAAGGUCGCUAUAGUCAGUUUAUGACCGCCAGCUUUUGACCUUCUGUUUUUGGUCACAAAAAGGUCGCAAAUGAAAAACCAUGACCUUUCAGUGACCAAUAGUGGUGGUCACAAGUUGACAUAUUUCUUGUAGUGCCCCCCGCAACGCUCACUGUUCAUCCCAGAGGCAGCAUCGAUCGGCUUCAGUUAGCAGCGGUAGCGAAGGAAUUGCUCGAUCAGGUUCAGUUAACAGCCAUCGAUCGAUCGCUCGGGUUCAGUAACGCGUAGCCUGCAGUGCAAUCGCUCGGUUUCAGUUAGAGCCCAACGCCUCACUCAGGUUCAGUUAGAGCCAACGCCUCGCACACACGCGCGUACGUGUACGAGAGAAACGUGCAUCGCUCGGCCCCCGACCUCCCACCGUAACCGGGAACUCCCCAAAAAUUUCCUCGCCCUCGCUUCUACCACGGGAUUUUCCGUCAUGGACGGCCCAAAGAAUGUCAUGCAGCUGCAUCUCCGGCCCGCCCAGGACGAAAAGCCCAUUUUCUGUCAUGAUUUUUUGUCAUAGAAGUAGGAGCCCACCACAUCUAUGAUGAUACCGGGUUUUGUCACAAUUAUCGUCAUAGAAGUGUCAUAUGUAUGACAGAAAAAAAAAUCGUUUGGCCCAAAAUAUCACGGAUGUGUCUUUUUUUGUAGUAAAUCCAUCAAAAGAUUUCACCCAAAACAUGAAAACUUCACAAUACAAAACUCAACAGAAAUCUCGUGAGCUCCGUUAGCGAAAGAAAACAAAAGACCACUUCAAGGUACUGUAAUGAACUCAUUCUUUAUUUAUAUUUGUGUUAAACCUACUGUAUUCCAACUUCUCUAUGGUUUAUAAACUAUUUUACUAGCCAUAGAUUCAUCAAAAUAAGCAAACAACACACGAAAACAGAAUCUGUCAAAAACAGAAUAGUCUGUAGUAAUCUGUAACUAACGCAAACUUCUGGACCUACACAAAAUCAGCCAAAAUAGGACAACCUAAGCAAUUUGUUUAUUGAUCAGCAUCAAUUGGAAUCACUAUUUUAUCACGUUCUGGUGAUUUUUAACAAUUGUUUUCGUGAACAGAGAGUUUCUGGAAAUUACAGCAAGAUAAAAUAACUAUCAUCCAAGAAGAUCCUAUAGGUUUAACUUGGCACAAACACUAAUUAAAACAUAAAAACACAUCUAACCAGAGGCUAGAACAAUGAUUUGUUCCUAAACAGAAGGAAAAGCAAAAAAACUAAAAAUAAAAUUGGGUUGCCUCCGAACAAGCGCUAUCGUUUAACGCCCCUAGCUAGGCAUAAAAGCAAGAAUAGAUCUAGGUAUUGCCAUCUUUGGUAGGCAAUCCAUAAGUGGCUCUCAUGAUAGAUUCAUAUGGUAAUUUUAUUUUCUUCCUAGGGAAGUGUUUCAUGCCCUUCUUUAAUGGAAAUUGGAAUCUAAUAUUCCGUUCCUUCAUAUCAAUAAUUGCACCAAUCGUUCUAAGAAAAGGUCUACCAAAAAUAAUAGGACAUGAAGGAUUGCAAUCUAUAUCAAGAACGAUAAAAUCUACGGGCACAUAGUUCCUAUUUGCAACAAUAAGAACAUCAUUAAUUCUUCCCAUAGGUUUCUUAAUAGUGGAAUCCGCAAGGUGCAAGUUUAGAGAGCAAUCAUCAAAAUCACGGAAAUCUAGCAAAUUGCACAAAGUUUUGGGAAUAGUGGAAACACUAGCACCCAAAUCACAUAAAGCAUAGAACUCAUGAUCCUUAAUCUUAAUUUUAAUAGUUGUUUCCCACUCAUCAUAAAGUUUUCUAGGGAUAGAAGCUUCCAACUCAAGUUUUUCUUCAUAAGAUUGCAUCAAGUCAUCAACGAUAUGUUUGGUAAAAGCUUUAUUUUGACUAUAAGCAUGAGGAGAAUUUAGCACGGAUUGCAACAAGGAAAUACAAUCAAUCAAAUAGCAAUUUUCAUAAUUAAAUUCCUUGAAAUCCAAAAUAGUGGGUUUAGCAACAUCUAGGGUUUUGAUUUCUUCAAUCCCACUUUUAUCAAUUUUAGCAUCAAGAUCUAAAAACUCCGAAUUUUUAGAACGCCUUCUAGGUAAAGGUGGAUCAUAUUCGGUCCCAUCAUUAUCAAGAUUCAUAUGGCAAAACAAAGAUUUAAUAGGGUACACAUCAAUAACUUUUAGAUCUUCAUCUUUAUUUUCAUAGGAAUUAGAAGAACACGCUUUAAUAAAGGCAUCUUUCGUAGCACGCAUCCUAGCGGUUCUUUCUUUGCACUCAUCAAUGGAAAUUCUCAUGGCUUUGAGAGACUCAUUGAUAUCAUGCUUAGGAGGAAUAGAUCUAAGCUUUAAAGAAUCAACAUCAAGAGAAAUUCUAUCAACGUUCCUAGCCAAUUCAUCAACUUUAAGCAAUUUCUCUUCGAGCAAAGCAUUGAAAUUCUUUUGCGAAUUCAUAAACUCUUUAACACUAGUCUCAAAUUCAGAGGGCAUCUUAUUAAAAUUUCCAUAAGAGUUGUUAUAGGAAUUUCCAUAAUUAUUAGAGGAAUUACUAGGAUAAGGCCUAGGAUUAAAGUUUCCUCUAUACACGAUGUUACCAAAAUUAUUCCUACCAACAAAAUUCACAUCCAUAGAUUCAUUAUUAUUCUCAAUCAAAGCAGACAAAGGCAUAUCAUUAGGAUCAGAAGAAACACUCUUAGUAGCAAAUAAUUUCAUAAAUUCAUCCAUCUUUCCACUCAAAACAUUAAUUUCUUCUGUUGCAUGCACUUUUUUAUUAGUAGAUCUUUCAGUGUGCCAUUCAGAAUAAUUAACCAUAAUAUUAUCUAGGAGUUUAGUAGCUUCUCCUAAAGUGAUUUCCAUAAAAGUGCCUCCCGCAGCCGAAUCUAAAAGAUUUCUAGAAGCAAAAUUCAAUCCGGCAUAAAAAAUUUGUAUAAUCAUCGAAAAAAUUCAAACCAUGAGUAGGGCAGUUACGUAUCAUUAACUUCAUCCUCUCCCAAGCUUGUGCAACAUGUUCAUGAUCAAGUUGCUUAAAAUUCAUAAUAUUGUUUCUAAGAGAGAUGAUCUUAGCGGGAGGAAAAUACUUAAGAGAUAAAAGCAUCUUUGCACUUGUUCCAAGAAUCAAUACUAUUUUUAGGCAAAGACGAAAACCAAGCUUUAGCACGAUCUCUAAGCAAAAAAGGAAAUAGCUUCAAUUUAACAAUAUCAUUAUCAACAUCUUUUUUCUUUUGCAUAUCACACAAAUCAACAAAGCUAUUUAGAUGAGUAGCGGCAUCUUCACUAGGAAGGCCGGCGAAUUGAUCUUUCAUGACAAGAUUCAACAAAGCAGUAUUGAUCUCACAAGAUUCAGUAUUGGUAAGAGGAGCAAUCGGAGUGCUAAGGAAAUCAUUAUUGUUGGUAUUGGUAAAGUCACACAAUUUGGUAUUAUCUUGAGCCAUCAUGACAAACAAAGCAAUCCAACACACGAGCAAACAAAAAGCAAGCGAAAAAAGGCAAACAGAAAAGAGAGGGCGAAUAAAACGGCAAGGGUGAAGUGGGGGAGAGGAAAACGAGAGGCAAAUGGCAAAUAAUGUAAUGCGGGAGAUAAGGGAUUUGUGAUAGGUACUUGGUAUGUUGACUUUUGCAUAGACUCCCCGGCAACGGCGCCAGAAAUCCUUCUUGCUACCUCUUGAGCACUACAUUGGAUUUCCUUGAAGAGUAAAGGAUGAUGCAGCAAAGUAGCGUAAGUAUUUUCCUCAGUUUUUGAGAACCAAGGUAUCAAUCCAGUAGGAGGCUACGCGUGAGUCCCUUGUACCUCCACAAAACAAAUAACUCCUCGUAACCAACGCGAUAAGGGGUUGUCAAUCCCUUCACGGUCACUUACGAGAGUGAGAUCUGAUAGAUAUGAUAGGAUAGUAUUUUUGGCAUUUUUGUGAUAAAGAUGCAAAGUAAAAUAAAAGCAAAGUAAAAAAGCAAAGGAAAUAACUAAGUGUUGGAAGAUUAAUAUGAUGAAGAUAGACCCGGGGGGCAUAGAUUUCACUAGAGGCUUCUCUCAAGAGCAUAAGUAUUUUACGGUGGGUGAACGAAUUACUGUUGAGCAAUUGACAGAAUUGAGCAUAGUUAUGAGAAUAUCUAGGUAUGAUCAUGUAUAUACUCAUCACGUCCGAGACAAGUAGACCGACUCCUGUCUGCAUCUACUACUAUUACUCCACUCAUCGACCGCUAUCCAGCAUGCAUCAAGAAUAUUAAGUUCAUGAAAACAGAGUAACGCCUUAAGCAAGAUGACAUGAUGUAGAGGGAUAAAUUCAUGCACAAUGAUAAAAUCCCAUCUUGUUAUCCUCAAUGGCAACAAUAAAAUACGUGCCUUGCUUCCCCUGCUGUCACUGGGAAAGGACACCGCAAGAUUGAACCCAAAGCUAAGCACUUCUCCCAUUGCAAGAAAGAUUAAUCUAGUAGGCCAAACCAAACUGAUAAUUCGAAGAGACUUGCAAAGAUAACCAAUCAUACAUAAAAGAAUUCAGAGAAGAUUCAAAUAUUGUUCAUAGAUAAUAUUGAUCAUAAACCCACAAUUCAUCGAUCUCAACAAACACACCGCAAAAAGAAGAUUACAUCAAAUAGAUCUCCACAAGAGAGGGGGAACAUUGUAUUGAGAUCCAAAAAGAGAGAAGAAGCCAUUUAGCUACUAACUAUGGACCCGAAGGUCUGAGGUAAACUACUCACACUUCAUCGGAGAGGCUAUGGUGAUGAUGUAGAAGCCCUCCGUGAUGGAUGCCCCCUCCGGCGGAGCUCCGGAACAGGCCCCAAGAUGGGAUCUCGUGGGUAUAGAAGGUUGCGGUGGUGGAACUAGGUUUUUGGCUCCGUAUCUGAUCGUUUGGGGGUACGUAGGUAUAUAUAGGAGGAAGGAGUACGUCAGUGGAGCAAUAGGGGGCCCAUGAGGGUGGAGGGCGCGCCCCCUACCUCGUGGCUUCCUCCUUUCUUUCUUAACGUAGGGUCCAAGUCUCCCGGAUCAUAAUCUUCCUAAAAAUCACGUUCCCGAAGGUUUCAUUCCGUUUGGACUCCGUUUGAUAUUCCUUUUCUUCGAAACUCUGAAAUAGGCAAAAAAACAGCAAUUCUGGGUUGGGCCUCCGGUUAAUAGGUUAGUCCCAAAAAUAAUAUAAAAGUGGAUAAUAAAGCCCAAUAAUGUCCAAAACAGUAGAUAAUAUAGCAUGGAGCAAUCAAAAAUUAUAGAUACGUUGGAGACGUAUCAUAGGUCAACCAGAGUAAGAUCCGCACUAGUGUGGUACCGUAAUCCUGUUCUAGGGUCAUUGUACUUGACCAUGACGAACCUACAAACUAUGAGGAAGCGAUGAUGAGCCCAGAUUCCGCAAAAUGGCUUGAGGCCAUGAAAUCUGAGAUGGGAUCCAUGAAUGAGAACAAAGUAUGGACUUUGGUUGACUUGCCCGAUGAUCGGCAAGCCAUAGAGAAUAAAUGAAUCUUCAAGAACAAGAAUGACGUUGACGGUAAUGUUACUGUUUACAGAGCUCGACUUGUUGUGAAAGGUUUUCGACAAGUUCAAGGACUUGUCUACGAUGAGACUUUUUCACCCGUAGCGAUGCUUAAGUCUGUCCGAAUCAUGUUAGCAAUUGCCGCAUUUUAUGAUUAUGAAAUUUGGCAAAUGGAUGUCAAAACUACAUUCCUGAAUGAAUUUCUGGAAGAAAAGUUGUAUAUGAUGCAACCAGAAGGUUUUAUGAAUCCAAAGGAUGCUAACAAAGUGUGCAAGCUCCAGCGACCCAUUUAUGGACUGGUGCAAGCCUCUCGGAGUUGGAAUAAACGUUUUGAUAGUGUGAUCAAAGCAUAUGGUUUUAUAUGGACUUUUGGAGAAGCCUGUAUUUACAAGAAAGUGAGUGGGAGCUCUGUAGCAUUUCUAAUCUUAUAUGUGGAUGACAUAUUGUUGAUUGGAAAUGAUAUAGAAUUUCUGAAUAGCAUAAAGGGAUACUUGAAUAAGAUUUUUUCUAUGAAAGACCUCAGUGAAGCUGCUUACAUAUUGGGCGUCAAGAUCUAUAGAGAUAGAUCAAGACGCUUAAUUGGACUUUCACAAAGCACAUACCUUGAUAAAGUUUUGAAGAAGUUCAAAAUGGAUCAAGCAAAGAAAGGGUUCUUGCCUGUGUUACAAGGUGUGAAGUUGAGUUAGACUCAAUGCCCGACCACUGCAGAAGAUAGAGAGAAAAUGAAAGUCAUUCCCUAUGCUUCAGCCAUAGGUUCUAUCAUGUAUGCAAUGCUGUGUACCAGACCUGAUGUGUGCCUUGCUAUUAGUAUAGCAGGGAGGUGCCAAAGUAAUCCAGGAAUGGAUCACUGUACAGCGGUCAAGAACAUCCUGAAAUACCUGAAGAGGACUAAGGAUAUGUUUCUCGUUUAUGGAGGUGACAAAGAGCUCGUCGUAAAUGGUUACGUCGAUGCAAGCUUUGACACUGAUCCGGAUGACUCUAAGUCACAAAUCGGAUAUAUACGUGUUUAUAUUGAACGGUGGAGCUGUCAGUUGGUGCAGUUCUAAGCAAAGCAUCAUGGCGGGAUCUACGUGUGAAGCGGAGUACAUAGCUGCUUCGGAAGCAGCAAAUGAAGGAGUCUGGAUGAAGGAGUUCAUAUCUGAUCUGGGUGUCAUACCUAGUGCAUCGGGUCCAAUGAAAAUCUUUUGUGACAAUACUGGAGCAAUAGCCUUGGCGAAGGAAUCCAGAUUUCACAAGAGAACCAAGCACAUCAAGAGAUGCUUCAAUUCCAUCCGUCAUCAAGUGUCGGAAGGGGACAUAGAGAUUUGCAAGAUACAUACGGAUCUGAAUAUUGCAGACCCGUUGACUAAGCCUCUCUCACGAGCAAACAUGAUCAGCACCAAGACUCCAUGGGUGUUAGAAUGAUUACUAUGUAAUCUAGAUUAUUGACUCUAGUGCAAGUGGGAGACUGAAGGAAAUAUGCCCUAGAGGCAAUAAUAAAGUUGUUAUUUAUAUUUCCUUAUAUCAUGAUAAAUGUUUAUUAUUCACGCUAGAAUUGUAUUAACCGGAAACUUAGUACAUGUGUGAAUAAGCCUCUACUUGACUAGCUCGUUAAUCAAAUAUGGUUAAGUUUCCUAGCCAUAGACAUGAGUUGUCAUUUGAUGAACGAGAUCACAUCAUUAGAGAAUGAUGUGAUGGACAAGACCCAUCCGUUAGCUUAGCACUAUGAUCGUUUAGUUUAUUGUUAUUGCUUUCUUCAUGACUUAUACAUGUUCCUAUGACUAUGAGAUUAUGCAACUCCCGAAUACCGGAGGAACACUUAGUGUGCUAUCAAAUGUCACAACAUAACUGGGUGAUUAUAAAGAUGCUCUACAGGUGUCUCCGAUGGUGUUUGUUGAGUUGGCAUAGACCGAGAUUGGGAUUUGUCACUCCGUGUUUCGGAGAGGUAUCUCUGGGCCCUCUCGGUAAUGCACAUCACUAUAAGCCUUGCAAGCAAUGUGACUAAUGAGUUAGUUGCGGGAUGAUGCAUUACGGAACGAGUAAAGAGACUUGCCAGUAACGAGAUUGAACUAGGUAUGAUGAUACCGACGAUCGAAUCUCGGGCAAGUAACAUACUGAUGACAAAGGGAACAACGUAUGUUGUUAUGCGGUUUGACCGAUAAAGAUCUUCGUAGAAUAUGUAGGAGCCAAUAUGAGCAUCCAGGUUCCGCUAUUGGUUAUUGACCAGAGAUGUGUCUCGGUCAUGUCUACAUAGUUCUCGAACCCGUAGGGUCCGCACGCUUAAGGUUCGAUGACGAUUUGUAUUAUGAGUUAUGUGAUUUGAUGUACCGAAGGUUGUUCAGAGUCCCGGAUGAGAUCACGGACAUGACGAGAAGUCUCGAAAUGGUCGAGACAUAAAGAUUGAUAUAUUGGAAGGUUACAUUCGGNNNNNNNNNNNNNNNNNNNNNNNNNNNNNNNNNNNNNNNNNNNNNNNNNNNNNNNNNNNNNNNNNNNNNNNNNNNNNNNNNNNNNNNNNNNNNNNNNNNNNNNNNNNNNNNNNNNNNNNNNNNNNNNNNNNNNNNNNNNNNNNNNNNNNNNNNNNNNNNNNNNNNNNNNNNNNNNNNNNNNNNNNNNNNNNNNNNNNNNNNNNNNNNNNNNNNNNNNNNNNNNNNNNNNNNNNNNNNNNNNNNNNNNNNNNNNNNNNNNNNNNNNNNNNNNNNNNNNNNNNNNAACCGAAUUGGACUAGGGCUAGGGGGUCGGGCCCCCUUUCAGUCUCUUCUCCCUCUCCUUCCCCCCUUCUCCUUGUGGAAGUAGGAAAGGGGGGGCGAAUCCUACUUGGAGUAGGACUCCCCCCCUUGGGCGUGCCUCCUCCUGGCCGGCCUCCUCCUCCCUCCCCCCUUUAUAUACGUGGGAGGGGGGCACCCCAAAGGUACAUCAAAGUUUCUCUUAGCCGUGUGCGGUGCCCCCCUCCACGGUUACACACCUCGGUCAUAUCGUCGUAGUGCUUAGGGGAAGCCCUGCACCGGUAACUUCAUCAUCACCGUCGCCACGCCGUCGUGCUAACGGAACUCUCCCUCGGCCUCAACUGGAUCAAGAGUACGAGGGACGUCAUCGAGCUGAACGUGUGCUGAACACGGAGGUGUCGUACGUUCGGUGUUGAGAUCGGUCGGAUCGUGAAGACGUAUGACUACAUCAACCACGUUGAUAAAACGCUUCCGCUUUCGGUCUAUGAGGGUACGUGGACACACUCUCCCCGCUCGUUGCUAUGCUUCUCCUAGAUAGAUCUUGCGUGAUCGUAGGAAUUUUUUUGAAAUUAUUGCGUUCCCAACAGGUUCUGACCUAGGUAUUGUUCUUUUUUCCGUAGGGAUAUUUCCGUCGUUGAAGCAUUGUAGUAUGUAGAGUUCUUAUCCAUUUAUCUUUGAUUUGUUCAUAAGAUUUUGCUAGCUCCAUCGCAUGAUUAUGUACUUGGAUUACAGGAAGCAAAGAAGAAGUUUGUAAGAAGCAACACUUCUGUCCAUAUGGCGAUGGUGCGAGGGACAAGGUCCUCGCACUUGCAUCACCACAGUAGAUGGUAUUGUGGUGCCAACCGUCACAUGAUAUACUCCAUGAUACUCCACAUCGGGAUGUCGUCCCCUCAGUAGUUGGACCUGACGCCAUCCUAGCAUGGACGCUCAACAUGCAUCGGGUAGGGAUCAUCAAACGACGGGAGCUCCUGCGCCUAGCUACAUGAAACCAUGCCUCGCAUUCUCAACUGAACUACUUUGUUUUCAACGAGGACCUUAGCUAAUGGCAUCGUUGGCCUUUCUCUAUUCAUGUCACUCCUUGAUGCCGCUCACCACGUGGUGAUGGAAGGAAAAACACCCACCAUUUGAAAAAUGCAUGACUAUCAUCACAGGGAAGCAUAACUAGCAUCAGUAGCAAGCAUGGCCAACACUGAAAAGGAAGCAUGUCGGCCAUCGACUUGGUAGUGUCCGAAAUUGUUAUUUCUUUGGACGCAUAUUGUCAUUUCUUUGGAAGCAUUAGUAUUUUUGGUUUUAAACCAAUGUAGUUUCAAUGGUAAAUAAGACUACUUGAUAAGAAAUAUUUGUUUCCUAGGAAGCAAUUUAAUGGAACAUUGGAAACAAUUUAUUGUUCUCUAAAAUACAUCUUCAUUGUGCCAGAAACAAAAAAGAAUAGAAAUGGUGCACUAUACAUAAGAUUUUGCCAAAUCGAAAGAAUCUCCGAUUGACGUGGAAGCACGAAACUGAAUGAAUGGUUCAAUUCCUAGUCCUUACUACCACACAAGUCCUUUAUGUACACAGUUCAAGUAAUAUAUGCUUUCAAUUUUAGUAAACCAUGUUUCCACCUAUCACAGUAUGUGCUUCCUACCUAGCUCACCACCACACAAGUGCUUCCACGCCCAAAUAAUAUCACGCAUACGAAGGACCUAUGGAAUCGGAGCAUACGAUGGAAACAACGAGUAUGAGAAGAUAAGGCACAAAGUUUUUCUUACACACUAAUCAUGCUUCCUACAAUGGUGCAUCACGCUUCAUACAUGGCUGGAUACACUUCUCCUUCUGCAUUAAUCAGUUAUGCUUCCAACAUUGGUGUACUGUGCUUCAAGCACUCAGAUUUUGAAUAGCCUAUGUUCCAAUGUUUUGCUUCAAACAUCCAGUUCUAAGAAAUAACAAACAAUAUACGCAAAAAAAA